UUUUCUUUGAAGCUAUCUUGAGAACCAUCAUCAGGAAUCAUAGGUCCUAGGUUGUGGAAUUCCAGGAACCAUGGAAAAUGCAAGAAAGAGUAAGCAAAUGCCUCUCUAUUUCUGCUAUCUUUGAGUUCACCAGAUUGGUCUGCCUGUUCAAAGAAACUUAAAAAGGGUCAGAUUUGGCCAGCUGGGAAUCCCUGCUAUACUGUCCAUAUGUUUUAACAGGUGGAAGGGUUGCUCAGCUCUUCGCUCUUCUGCUAGGAAAUGGGCAAUGCUUGGAGGUGUCCAGGGGAUGCCCAUUGGGCUGGACCAAUUCCAGCACUCUGAAACUGCAACAAAUAGGGCAACAACUGCUGUGCAACUGAAAGAAGAAUUCUCACUCCACGCAUUUGAGGACAGUAUUUCCAGAGGAAUCUCUCAGGACUCAUCACUACUCUUCUGAGAGAAAAUUACAGGCAAACAUUCACUGUCAGGAGCUGUCUGCUGUGACAGUUACAAAUCUGUCAGGUUAUGUAAACUGGGAAAGAAACAAAGAAGAUGGUAUUAAAAGGGUUGCCUACAGUUUCUGAGAAUUUCAGCUGCUCGUUCUGUCUCCCUGGGUUUUUGUGCUCUUGCUGCAUAGUUAAGACUUGAGAAGCGUUGGUCUCCAGUUGUAGAGAUGGUAAAAAAGGCUCCUUAGACAGGUAGGAAUGACAUUGUUGUCUGUGUAGCACUUGGAACCCCUGGUUUCUUUAUGCUAAAGGCUCACUAGCUUUUCCUGAUCCUUAGCAAGCUCCAAAAUAAACUUCCAGAAAACGAGGUAGGUUUAGAUCA
rnacentral:lncRNA from 1 species